UUUGUGUCCGUACUGUGCAGAGCAGGCCAAGGGAGGACAACACAGCACCAGACGUGACACAGAAAGGCACUGUGUUCAAAGGGUGCCAUAAACUGUGGCUUUAUUUAAUGUAUUUUGGCAGAACAAGACAGUGACAGGGCCGUGGGUGCCUGCGUGUGCUGGUGCAAGCUUGGUGCCUGCCUGGAGGUGCCUACAGGGAGGUGCCUACAGGGCCACCAAGGCUAAUAUUGAUACAAAUGUAGAGGGACGAAAUAGAGAAGCAGGAAGACCACCACCACCACCACCACCACCACCAGCAGUGUGGAAGAAAGCUGGUGAUAAAACUCUCUCUCGCUCUCCCUCACUCUCCCUCACUCUCCCACGCCACGGAAGCAGUGGAAUAAAGCACAGGAGGAGGAAGUGAGAGGAUAAUGAAGUUUGGAAGUUUGUGAUACGUAAGAAGGUUACAUGUUAGGAACGCACGGACAAGCAAGGUGGUAUUCGGCAGUCUGAUCCUGGACCUGCUUGGCUUCACGGUGGUGCUGGCUCUGUUUCCUGCUCUCCUCGACUAUUAUUCCAAGCACGACUCCAGCAGCUUGUAUUCCUCUCUGCUCUCCUGUGUCACGUAUUACCAGCACAUCAUCGGCGUCCCUGCGAGGUUCCACUCUGUCUUGUUUGGUGAAAUUAAAUUGGGAUGACCUUGUUCAAAAGAAAGUACCUGCUCCCUUUGUACCAAGAAUCAGUACUGAGUUAGAUGUUAGUAAUUUUUCUGAAGAGUUCACUGCAAUGAUACCACAGGAUUCUCCAGCAAUCGUUCCUCCAGAUGUUGAGAAAAUGUUCAAUGGCUACUCCUACGUUGCUCCAUCAAUUCUCUUCACUGACAGUGUCAUCAGCGACAGCAGCAGCCUUUUCAAGAUGUCACCAGACAGAAGACCUUCCACAACCAACCUAUUAUUGGCUUGUAGCUUUAAGGUUAGUACCCACUUUCUAUUCUGCUGUUGCUGAUUUACUUGCUAAUUUUAAUUCUUCACUAUUAACUCUUUGACUGCUGCUGCUGCUGUUUGCUACAUCUUUCCUUAACCACUAAUCACUUUGAGACAUUUUUACUUGUUCUACAGCCAUCUCUAAUCUUUAAACUGGGUACAAAUUGCAAAAUCCAUUCUUUUUAAUCCCCUUCUUUCACGUAGAUGAUUAUUAUAAAGAUUUCAUGCAUUACUUCUGGUGCUGUAAAUUGGUUUGUAUCAGUGAAAGCAUUAAAACAUACUUGAAUUUUUGGUGAAUUGUCUCAGCGUGAUUUUGACAGUAAAGGUAAAUAAAUUGUCAUAGUAGUAGCAGUAGUAAUAAUAUAAGUAUGCAUGGCUGAUGUCUUCCCCUGUGAGGGAUAGAUUCAGAUUCAGAUUCAGAUUCUUUAUUCCACGAAAGUGGUUAUUAAGUACAUUAUAUUUCACAUAGCUUUACAUAAAUAAGGAGGUCAUAAAACUAAACUGUAGAUUGAAAUAUCUUAGUAUACUACUAAAUGAUUAAAUUGCAGAAUGUUGUCAUCAAAAAAUAUUAAGAGUAUAAAAUAAUCAUGGUAACUAAAAUAGUAUUUCUACACUAAAGUGCAAUGUCUACCUCUAAGUAAAAUAAAAUACAUGAAUGUCCUUAAAAUUAUGUUUAAAUGAUAAUAAGACCAUAAAAUGCUGGAUAAAAUAUGGGUGUAAAGCUUCAUCACUGUGCGUUUUCUAACAUAUGUCUAAAAUAUUUAUAUAAUAUUUGCAGAUUGGAAAUGUUUCCUGAGGUUAGUCUUAAAACUGUUUAGAUUUUGAGACAGGGUGAUGGUGGAUGGGAGUUGGUUCCACAACUUAGGACCCAACACAGUGAGGUCCCUGGCACCGCUGUCUGUUCUGGUCCGGGGAACAUGCAAGUUGUUUCUUUGUCUAGUUUUACUGUUUGUCACAUCAUUUACAGUAUUAAAAGAUAAAAAGGAUAGAAAGCCAUCAGGAUAACAUCUUCGCAAAUGUCAAACAUAUGUUUCUCCUUAACCCUGAGCCAUUUAAGUUCUUUAAGGAAAGGUGAUGCACGGUCAUAUUUCCUGCCACCUCCCACUGCUACUUUAGCUGCAAAGUUUUGAAGUUUUUGGGCCUUACACAGAAGAGUUUCGUUUGUUGAUCCCCACACUUGAAUGCAGUAAUAUAUUGUGCUUAAUGCAAGUGAUUGAGUAACAAGAAUUCGUGUGGGUUUAUCAAAACAUUUACUAAUUCGAUUUAUAUACAUUAAUAUGCCUGUCACCUUCUUCUGUAACUCAUUUAAAUGAACAUCAAACAACAUAUAUUUAUCAAAAUACACUCCUAAAUUCUUAACAUGAUAACUUGAAAGUAUGUUCUCUCCAUCAAAAUGUAUGGUAGUGUCAGGAGGAAUCUUAGCUAGGAGUUGGCGAUUGCCUAGGAAAAUACAUUGCGUUUUACUUGGAUUUAAAAGUAGGCCAUUACUCAGAAAAUAGCGUUUACAUUGUCUUAGAGUUGUUUCAGCAUCAUUAAUGAGUUGAUGGAUGUUGUUAACUGUGCCUUCGUGUAAUAUUUGAGUAUCAUCCGCGUAUUGCACUAUGAAACCAUUAACGUGCUCUGACAGAUCAUUUACAUAAAUGCUGAACAAUAGCGGGCCAAGAAUUGAGCCUUCUGGGACUCCAUAGUUCACUUUCUGGUCUUUAGAUAUUGCCCCAUUCAAGCGGACAGACAUGGUUCUGUUGGUCAAAUAAUUAUCUAGACCUUUCCUUGUUGCUUGUUCAACUGCAUGAUGUCUUUAACACACACUUCUCUACCCCAUCCAAGUACUACCAUCCAAGUAGCUUUCCUCACCUAUCACUACUUUCAACUUCACUCACUCUUUCUUUUGGAGAUGUCAUUGAUAUGAAAUCGUUUUGACACAAAAUGAUUUAAGUAACAAUUAGUUUAAGAUCAUAUUUUCUUUUCCUUGCAUUUAAUCAUUGUAUGCCUGUAUCUAAUUCAUGUUGGUUUCACAGGCACACACCUAUAUUGUGAUGGAGCUCCUUGGAGGUGGAGAGCUGGCUGCUUCAGAGGAUCAGGAAACACGAGAGGUUCACAGAGGCUCGCCUCGGGCUUCGGUCGUCGUGAGGAACCUGGUGUCAGCAGUUCACUACGUGCACAGGAAAGGCAUCAGUGUUCACGGAGACCUAAAGCCAGACAGGGGUGAAGAGUUAGGAGAGGGAGAAGAAAUAUGUUGGGAAUUAAUGGAAUGGGAGGGAAUAAAAAUAGAAAAGUGGUUGGUGUUGAGGAUAGACAGAAAAGAAAAGAAAGGAAAGGUGAAAAAAAGGAAGUUUUUUUGCAUUGAUUUUCCAUCUGCUUAUUUUAAAGAAUUUAUUGCAUGGAAUAUUAUUGAUCUCCAUCAUUUGUAUGGCCUUUAUAAUAAAAAGUAUGAAUUUA